rnacentral:rRNA from 1 species
CCAUGAACAGGUUGAAGUUUAGGCGGAAACGCCUUUCGGAGGACCGAACUCGUGUAUGUGGCAAAAUACUGGGAUGAUUUGUGGUUAGGGGUGAAAGGCCAAUCAAACUUAGAGAUAGCUGGUUUUCUGCGAAAUCUAUUUAAGUAGAGCGUUUAAAGAACUUUUUUAGGGGUAGAGCUCUCGAUAAACAAUGGGGGCAUAAAGCUUUACUGAGUUUAUUGAAACUUCGAAUACUAAUAAAAUGACUUUAAACAGACAGACUGUGAGUGCUAAGAUUCAUAGUCAAAAGGGAAACAGCCCAGACUACUAAUUAAGGCUCUUAAAAAUGAUUAAGUGAAAAAAUUGUGAAAAAAUGUUGACAACCGAAAGGUAGGCUUAGAAGCAGCCAUCCUUUAAAGAAAGCGUAACAGCUCAUUGGUUUAGUCUUUUUGCAUUGAAAAUGUUUGGAACUAAAAUUAUUUGCCGAAAUUGUAGAUUUAUUUUAUUAAAUGGUAGCAGAACGUUCUGUAAAUUUAAGAAGUUUUAUAGUGAUAUAAAAUGGAAAUAUCAGAAAUGAAAAUGUUGGUAUGAGUAACGAUAAACAAUGUGCAAAACAUUGUCGCCUUAAGUUCAAGGUUUCCAAAACAAGGCUAAUCCGUUUUGGUAUUUAUUCGGUCUCUAAGAAAAAAAACGAAAGUUUUAGUUUGAUGAGAUAAAAAUAAUUUUUUUGAUUUUUAGAAGUGACAAAGUAUGAAUAUUAUUUUUAUUUUAUGGUUUAAAUAAAAGUUUUAUAGUAUUUUCUAGAAAAAGCUUCUUUAAACAAAUAGAACCGUACCCUAAACCGACACAGGUGAACAAGUUUAGUAAACUAAGGCGCUUGAGAGAAUUAUGUUGAAGGAACUCGGCAAAAUGACUCCGUAACUUCGGAAUAAGGAGUGACUUUAUAAAGGCAACUUUAUAAAGUUGUAACAAAAUCGGGGACAGCGACUGUUUAACAAAAACACAGGUCUCUGCUAAUUCGUAAGAAGAUGUAUUGAGACUGACGCCUGCCCAGUGCUGCAAGAUUAAAGAAAAAGGUCUUUUGGCUUUGACCCUAACUCCCAGUAAACGGCGGCUGUAACUCUGACGGUCCUAAGGUAGCGAAAUUCCUUGGCAUUUAAUUGGUGUCCUGCAUGAAUGGCGUAACGACUGUCCCACUGUCUCCAACAUAAACUCAGUGAAAUUGAAAUUUUCGUGAAGAUGCGAAAUUCUUGCGGCUAGACGGAAAGACCCCGUGCACCUUUACUAUAGUUAUACAUUGUAAUGAAUUUUUUUUUGUGUAGAAUAAGUGGGAAGUUGUUAAUUUUAUAUCUAUUUGCGCAAGCGAAUAAGUUAAACAUCGUUGAAAUACCACUCUGAAAAUUUUUCAUUACUUAUUGAUUAAGACAUUGUAUAAUGGGUAGUUUGACUGGGGCGGUCGCCUCCUAAAGAGUAACGGAGGCGUGCAAAGGUAAAUUUAGGUUGAUUUAGAACAACUUUAAAGCAUAAUAGUAUAUAUUUGCCUGACUGUAAGAUUGACAAAUCAAGCAGGGACGAAAGUCGGUUAUAGUGAUCCGGUGAUUCUGUGUGGAAAAGGUCACCGCUCAACGAAUAAAAGGUACGCCGGGGAUAACAGGCUAAUCACCCUCUAGAGACCCUAUCGACGGGGUGGUUUGGCACCUCGAUGUUGGAUUAUCGCAUCCUGGAGCUGUAGGCGGUUCCAAGGGUUUGGCUGUUCGCCAAUGAAGGCGGUACAUGAUCUGAGUUUAGAACGUCGUGAGACAGUUUGGUCCCUAUCUACCGCAAGUGCAAAAAAUUGAAAGGAGUAAACCCUAGUACGAGAGGACCGGGAAAAGUAAAUCUCUGGUGAAUCGAUUGUUAUACCAAUAGCAUAGUCGAGUAGCUACAUUUAUAAUAAAUAAUCACUGAAAGCAUCUAAGUGAGAAAUUAACCUUAAUACAAAUUUUUUUUUAACUGUAAUAGAUUAUUACAUCGAUAGGCUUGGUGUGUAAGAGUUGCAAAACUUUUAGCUAACAAGUACUAAAUUUUAAUCAACUUUU